rnacentral:rRNA from 1 species
AUUACGGGGUGCAGCAGGCGCGAAAACUUCACAAUGUGCGAAAGCACGAUGAGGGAAUCCCAAGUGCUUGCUCGUAAGAGUAAGCUGUUUUUAUGUCUAAAAUGCAUAGAGAGUAAGGGCUGGGUAAGACGGGUGCCAGCCGCCGCGGUAAUACCUGCAGCUCAAGUGGUGACCGCUAUUAUUGGGCCUAAAACGUUCGUAGCGGGUUUAUUAAAUGCCUGGGUAAAUCGUGUAGCUUAACUAUACGAAUUCCGGGUAGACUGAUAGACUUGAGACCGGGAGAAGCUAGAGGUACUCCUGGGGUAGAGGUGAAAUUCUGUAAUCCUGGGGGGACCACCAGUGGCGAAGGCGUCUAGCUAGAACGGGUCUGACGGUGAGGAACGAAGCCCUGGGGCGCAAACCGGAUUAGAUACCCGGGUAGUCCAGGGUGUAAACGCUGCUUGCUUGAUGUUAGUUGGGCUCCGAGCCCAAUUAGUGUCGGAGAGAAGUUGUUAAGCAAGCUGCCUGGGAAGUACGAUCGCAAGAUUGAAACUUAAAGGAAUUGGCGGGGGAGCACAAU